rnacentral:sRNA from 1 species
AGUUUGGACACGGCAGUCCGAGGGGAAGGACGCAACAAAGACUUCUCCUGUUUUUCUUGUACUAGUCCUGGCACAUUUUUACUUUCCUUUGAGCACUCUUUAUUUAAAAUGCCUAUGGUCCAGCUUUUCUGAGGUGUAAGUCUUCCUGGUAGAUUCCUUGUGUUUUUCCACGUAUUUACAUUGUAGACAUCUUCGUCAUUGAAUGGAACAUCAGCCUCCUACAAGAUCAGCAACAGCAGAACCAUAUUUGAAGGACAGUCUCGCCACAACCGCCAUACACGGAUCAUCAACCUGAUAAGCAGCAUUCUCCUCCAAUACCGGAUUCAUGGACAAAUCAUUGUUUCAAUCAUGUAUUUUAUAACUCAAUGUAGAAAGAAAAUAUAAAUCAUUUAUGU